rnacentral:lncRNA from 1 species
CUAUAAAAGAGAGGUAAGUGAGUAGCACCAGGAAGGACAUUUCUUGGCUGGGACUCUACCACAUUAAAUAUUUGAUUAGCUAUUCACCAACUCCUCUCUGACUUAAACAUCAGAGGGUCCCCAUCGGAUAUAAUUUCGAUCUGUGAGGACUUGAUUUUGCAGGUGCUCUUCACCGACGACAGCGAAAGAGAGUUGGCCGUAACAGAUUGGCAC